CCUCUCUAUCUCUCGCGGUCCCCCGGUGGACGAUGCCGCGGUCUGGGCGUGCGUGCCUGCCCGCUAAUAGUAGCCAUUGCCGUUGCCCACGCCGAAACUGGCACGGCGCCCGCGAGGGUUCUGCGCGCCGCCGUACUGACCGGCAUACUGGGCGGCAUAGUUGCUGUUGUUGUUCAUGGCGCCGUAGCCGUUGCCCUGGCCACCGUACCUGCCGGCAUAGUUGUUGUUGUUGUUGUUGCCGCCCAUCGCGCCGUAGCCGUUGCCGCGGUUGCCGUAGGCGCCGGCGUACGGUCGCGCGUAUCCGUUGUUGUUGUUGUUGCUGCUCCCGUUGUAGUUGCCGGCAAAGGACUGGC
rnacentral:lncRNA from 1 species